rnacentral:sRNA from 1 species
GACUUCCUAAUCGCCAGGCGUACUGGUA